CUUAAUUAAGUAAGUCAAUCUCAAUGUCACAGCGCAACAUUUUUUCUCCAAACACAAAAAACACAUCGACAGUAAGUAGGAAAUUAAGGAUGGAUCCAGUUAAUGUAGAGGAUAAAGUAAAGAAGAAGUAAUGUGAUAUGCUUACGCGCCACCGCCGCCCGGCCACCGCGGACUAGGGAGAGACACGCUGGUCUACCGGCAGCCGAGCCCAGCAAAGCAACGAGCUUCCCCAGUUGCAGGGAGUGAGCUGGGAUUGCAAGAGUUCAGACUGCGACACCAGUCGGGGAUCCCAAAUACCUUCAGAACAAGCUGACCAACUUGAGUUCCUCACAUUCAACCUCUGGAGCAGUUCAUUUAUUUUUACUUUUUCUGGUUAAAUGGUAUGCAAACUCAAAUGUUACUUGAAGCGUUUUGUUAUUGCUAUUUGUAUUUAUUUUUAUUCUUUGCACUUCAUUGCUUUCUUUGAAAACUGGUUGUACUAUCUGCUAUUUUGAAUUGUUUAUUAUCUACUAUUUAUUUUGCCACGAGAUACUUGUUUUAUUUUAUUUCUAUUAAUAUUUUAUUCAUUUUAGUGUGCUUUCCAUAUAAAAUGUGUUUUUACAAAUUAGUGGUGAAAUGUUAAGACAAAAUUGCCAUUCAUUUUUCAAGUAAUUUUAAGAGAAAAUACUACAGGUAUAUCAUUAUCGGGAAAUAAAAUUACCUACAGUAUAUCUGGAAAAAACAUUUUGACCAUAUCUGGACUGAUCACUUGUCAAUCAGAGGAUUAACAAAUAGAGAUCACAACAACAAUUUAGUCUUUAAUUAACCUAACACACUUUACAUGUUUUUGGACUAGGAGGAUGCAUAGUAAAACCCAUACAAGCAAAGGGAGAAUGUGCCAACAGAGUGGCCAAAACCAAUGAUGAUGUAAUCCCCAAAUCUUCUUGUUGCAGAGCAACAAUUCUGACCACAAGAGCACUAUGGUGCCAUAUAACAUCAUUAAAUUUGAAAUGCUUCGUUAUUAUCUAGGUGAGCUUUAUAUGGUAAACCACACCCAACGUCAGCCAUCCCCGUGACUCUAUAAGGGAUAAGUGGUAUAGAAAUCUAAACAUUUUCUCUUAGGUGAUGAGCUAGGAGAAUGUUCUGUUCUGAUACCUCCAAAUGAGGCAUUCAGGGUUCAUUUUGACUCCUUGCGUAGCCUUUUAUGGGGCACCCAUUAAAAUACUUAAUUAACCUCAGAAGAACCAGAUUCGGUAAUUAAAGGAUGGCAGGGGUACCAAGGCACCUGUCCUUGACUGCCGCCCAGCACACAAUGCCCCAGUCCCCUACUUAGCCACCUGCAGCGGGUGAUGGAUCCAGGGGAUUCAGUUUAGAUUGGUUGGGCAUCUCCUAUGCCUCCCAUUCUGUUCCCUUCUGAGGUGUUCUGGAUAUGUGCAACCAGAAAGAGGCUUUUGGAGAGACCUAAAACAUGCUGAAUGGACCAAUGUCUUGUGGAUUGUUUGCAAAUGCUACUAGUGUCCUCCUUGUGAAGUUGUAGGAGGUGUUUGGAGACAGCGGAAAUAGACGGAAGAUGAAUGAAUGUAUGAAUAAUUGGCUGAGAGAAAUCGAAUGGUUCUACUGCACUAAGUGUGUUUUGUCUAU